rnacentral:rRNA from 1 species
UACGAACUGUGCAAACGUUAUUCGGAAUCACUGGGCGUAAAGGGCGCGUAGGCGGAUCUUUUAGGUCAGGGGUGAAAGCCUGAGGCUCAACCUCAGAAUUGCCUUUGAUACUGAAGAUCUUGAGACCGGAAGAGGUAAGUGGAACUGCGAGUGUAGAGGUGAAAUUCGUAGAUAUUCGGAGGAACACCAGUGGCGAAGGCGCUCACUGGCUCGAUACUGACGCUGAGGUGCGAAAGCCAGGGGAGCAAACGGG